AAGCCAGGUAAUGAGUCUGCUUACCUGAAUGCGUAGCUACAGAAAUUUACAGAAUGCUGGCAGUACUAAAGUCAUGUGAUCCUUAAAGACCUUGAGGUCAUUAAGGUCCCUAAAAAUGGCUAUAUGG